CCUACGGGAGGCAGCAGUGAGGAAUAUUGGGCAAUGGACGAGAGUCUGAACCAGCCAAGUAGCGUGAAGGAUGACUGCCCUAUGGGUUGUAAACUUCGUUUAUAAAGGAAUAAAACGAGGCACGUGUGCCUUUUUGCAUGUACUUUAUGAAUAAGGAUCGGCUAACUCCGUGCCAGCAGCCGCGGUAAUACGGAGGAUCCGAGCGUUAUCCGGAUUUAUUGGGUUUAAAGGGAGCGUAGAUGGGUUGUUAAGUCAGUUGUGAAAGUUUGCGGCUCAACCGUAAAAUUGCAAUUGAUACUGGCAGUCUUGAGUACAGUUGAGGUAGGCGGAAUUCGUGGUGUAGCAGUGAAAUGCUUAGAUAUCACGAAGAACCCCGAUGGCGAAGGCAGCUUACUAAACUGUAACUGACGUUGAUGCUCGAAAGUGUGGGUAUCAAACAGGAUUAGAUACCCUAGUAGUC
rnacentral:rRNA from 1 species